UGAGGAAUAUUGCGCAAUGGGCGAAAGCCUGACGCAGCAACGCCGCGUGAGGGACGAAGGCCUUCGGGUCGUAAACCUCUUUUCUGGGGAAAGAGACAGGACGGUACCUCAGGAAUAAGUCUCGGCUAACUACGUGCCAGCAGCCGCGGUAAAACGUAGGAGGCGAGCGUUAUCCGGAUUUACCGGGCGUAAAGAGCACGCAGGCGGCUUCGUAAGUCGGAUGUGAA
rnacentral:rRNA from 1 species